UCCCACCCCCACCCAGGCCCUGCCCCCAUGGGGACUGGCAGCUCCCGGCCCCAGUCCAGGGCCCCCGCAGCAGAGGGGGAGCAGGAGCUCUCCCGGGCCUGACAGCCCCUGCCGUGCAGAAGCCCGGCCUAGGAAGGGUGAGCAAAGGAGGGCGCGAGAAGAAAAGGUCGAAACAAACCCCAGACCCCAGGAAGCGACUGUCUGGGGGGAAGGGAGGGCUUCCUUCCCAAGGAAAAGGGGACAGAGGAGGAAUGCACUUCGCGUCCGCGCCACCCUGGAAUCCACCCCAGGAGCCGCCGUGAGUCCCAGCUUCGGCCCGGCUCUCUUGCUCCCUCCCUCAGCGUCUCCCGCGGUGCCUGGGCCUCUCGGCGCCUGGCAACCCCCGUCUCGGGUACUCACAGAGUCCGGGGCUGCCCGUCGUCUUCCAUCAUGCCCGCUCCGGACACUGCGCCCCGACCAGGAGGAGCAGGAGGAGGAGGAGGAUGAACAAAAUGGCCACCGCCACCAGCCAGGCAGGAAACGGGGCAGAGCGCAGGCGCGGCCCGCCAGGUCACCGCUCAGGCCAGCCGCGACGGCCUGUACAUGGGAUAACUGAGUGGGGGGAAAAACGGGCCGCUAAGUAAACCCUGUGCCCAGUCCCGACGAAUCACGUCGUCGCUGUGCGCCUGGUGGCCGGCUGAAGCCCAGCCAGCUCAAGAAGAGAUCGAGUGAAAAGGGAACCGCCGUGAAGCUGAAGGUUCUGGGAAUUGUGGUCCUGGAGAAAGAGGGAAGCACUUCUCAAAGGACUUCUGGGAAUUGUAGUCCACAGGAGCCGGACGGCGCCCGCGGCGCGCUGAGUCGCGAAGAAGAGACUUCUGGGUAGUGUAGUCGUAACUGAGGACAUGCGGCGACCAGGAAGUCGGCGUCCUGGAAUAAGAGGGAGAGAAUAAAACCGACGUUGAAAGGCGCGGAAACGGGAUGGGAAAAAGUGCUAACUGGGAAGUAAACUACAAGUCCCAGAGUGCCUCGCGUUGGAGGCUGGCCUAGGACUGCCUUAAGCAUUUUAAGGCUCUUCUGUUGGCUCAUCCUGCGCUGCUGCUCCGCCUUGGUCCAGCCUGAGAGCGGUUUCUUCAACUGCGUCUGAAGCAGCGCUUUGGCUCCGCGUGGUGUCUGAGCUGGCAGGCCUUUCCAGCCAUGCUCAUCAGAACAGCAGACCGGUGGUCUUCAACCGCCGACCCGCGCGACCGACUGGAAGGGACGGGGUGGACCUCGGGUCCGAGCUGAUCUGAAAGCUGCGCUGGCUGGAGGCCCUCGGACUUCCCGAGGUCCGGGCGUGUUUUUUCGGCGUGUUUUCCCGCAAAUAGGUAUUCCUAACCUAGGUACGCAAACUGCACGUCGUCCAUACAGUGGAAUAAUGCUUAGCAACGAAGAAGAAUUCGCCAGGCAGGCGGCAGGGAAGAAUCGCAAAUGCAUCAUGCUAAAUGAAAUCCACCAGGUUCCAAAGGCCAUAUGCUGUCGGACUCCAUUUGUAUGAAAUUCUGGAACUGGCAAAACGGUAGGAAUGAAAAGCAGAUCGGUGGUUGGCAGAGGCCAAGAAGGGCUGGUGGAGGAGUUGAACUACAAAGGGGUAGAGGGAGAUUUUGAGGUGUGACUGAAUUAUUUUAUAGCUUGAUUUUGUGAUAGUUACAGGACUAAAUUAUACCUUCAGAAGAAUGUGCUAAGGAAUGAAUGUAAAGAAAAUUAUUUUAUUGGAAAACUAUAUGGCAACACGAAAUGGCCUACUUAACUACAUUAAAGAUACAUAGAGAUUGAGAAUAAUUCUGCAAUCUAGUUAUCUUCUGUUUUUAUUUUAAUUUCAGUAUAGUUAACAUACAGCAUUGUUAGUUUCAGGUAUACAAUAUAGUCGU